rnacentral:rRNA from 1 species
UACGAGGGGUGCAAGCGUUGCUCGGAAUUAUUGGGCGUAAAGGGUAGGUAGGUGGUCUCAUUUGUCUGGGGUGAAAGCCUCGAGCUUAACUCGAGAAGUGCCUCGGAAACGGUGAGACUAGAGUCUUGGAGAGGGUCGUGGAAUUCCCGGUGUAGCGGUGAAAUGCGCAGAUAUCGGGAGGAACACCAGCGGCGAAGGCGGCACUCUGGGCUGGUACUGACGCUCAGGAGCGAAAGCGUGGGUAGCGAACAGG